ACAGAGCACGUGUCCUGCAGCAGCUGGCUGUGGGGUGAUGGCCCUCCUUACUCAGAGGAUGGGUACAUCCCUGGGCUGUAAUGUGAUAUAUCUUGAGCAGCUGAACACUUUGGAGCUUGUGAAGAACAAUACAGAGGGGCUGGAUUUUGUUGCGUUUUGAGCUCUUCCUGGAGAAAACAAAUGGAGUACUGUGGGUAUUUUUUUUUAUUUGUGUAAUCUUGAGGCAGAGUAUCACAUAUUGCAGAGGAUGAUUGAAGCAGACAACGUUUGUGCUGGUUCCCAGUAUGGAAAAUGUGAACAAGACAAUUCUGCAUCACCUUUCCUUUCUGGGACCUGGAGCAUCAGAAGGUUCUAGAUUCUUAGAUUCCCACGAGGACUUAACUGGUGAUCAGUCCGUGCUGGUGUCAGGAAGAGUUCGUGUUCACAUUGCUUAACUGUGAGAGCUCAUCUGAAGUCAUGGGAAUGGACGAUUUGGACUGGAGUUCAGCCUGGCACAGCAGAGAACAGUUCUGUCCCCAGUGCUUUCCAUCUUUCUUGGUGACACAUCCCCACAGCUCCCCGGUACGCCCACUGGCACCACAUCUGUGCUCCUUGGUCUGCCUUAAAAAUGUACUCAAUCGUGAUUUUUUUAUUUUUAUUUUUUUGACUGAGUUCUUCCUUACCACGAAACUGAAUCGCCCACUCCUCGGAGGUAAAAAUGGGGCUCUGAACUCAAGAAAGAUGAUUGGGUUGAGGGUGUUGAGUGUAUCAGGAGCACAAAGGACAGCGCUGGCCUUUGUUUUACAUAUGCUAUGCAUGUGCUUAGUGCAUCUAUAUGCGUGUCUGCUUUGGAUCCAGAUUUUGAGGGAUAUGGGAGGCACUGAGGACAGCACAAGUCAUGGCAUAGUCAGGCUUUAGUUUAGAGGCUGUGCUGGGCUCUUCUGCUUCUGAAGUGGGCACAUAGUUGCUGCCUUUCCCUCUGCAAGCACGGGUAGCUGCCAGCCUGCAGCAGGGUGUCUGCCAUGGCGGGGAUGGGCCCUCUGCUCUUUGGAGCCUGAGCACAGCUUUGCAAGUUCUCCCAGUGACAAAUGCAUUCCUAGCAUUGGAUUUUCCUGUGAACAAUGAUGUGCUACCUGAGCACCCUAUGUGCAGUUGUUAUACUAAUUAGCUCUGUACUUGUGUGUCGGUAAUUAUUUGGUAAUUCAGAGCUUCAUGUAAAUUUUCUGAAGUGUCUUGUUACUGUUUGAAUAUGUAUAGCUGCAAACACCUCUGUAAAAUUGUAGCAUCGUUGCAUGUAAUCGUAAAUCAGAGCUCCCAGCACCACCCUCUCCAAAGCCAUCAUGUGCUUCCCCAUUCCAGAGCAUCGCAUAGCCGCUCCAUCCCUGGUUGCAGCAACACCAGGAACAGCAGAAAUGCUUCUCUGACACAGCUGCCAACAAUUAAACUGUGUGAGGCUUUGCUGGUGGAGGUUACGAAGAAGCCCUUAGAAAUCUGAAACAGCUUUUGAAAACAAGCACUGAAAAUAUCUGCCAGAAGCCAAGGAAUAGAUUACAGAUGGCAAACUGAUGUCUCCCGGACUGUCGGGGAAUGAUUUGGUUUGACAAAUGGCUGUGAUCUACUCUGGAGCUGUGCGGAAGAGGAACCAUCAGGCUGCAGUGUACAGAAAUAAUCAAGCAAGAUUAAGCAUGCCUGGUGCUGAUAUUUAUGGGCGGAUCUGUCCUUACAGCCCAUGGCCAGAUCCCUUACAGCUGGGAGAUGGAGGGCCCUGCAACACUGCCGCUUAAUUUCUGUGCCAUGUCUGUCAUCUGUGAACCCUUCAGACCUCCUCUAAGGGCUUCUUUGAAGAGAGAAGGAAAGGCAGCAUCAUUCACCUAUGGACCGGAGCACAGACGUGGUAAGAGAGGCUGCAGACAUUUCUGUCUGUGAUGCAGAACCUUGCAAAGCUUUCUUCAUUCACACCGUAUAAGUAAAUUCGGCCUGUGCCUAACUGCUGCAAACCUUUUCAAAGCAAAUAUAUUUGUACAAAGGAAUUCAGUAACAGAAAUGGAAUUUGCUCGUGGAUCAGAUUACUGUUAUUUCUGGCUGGAAGCAGUACCAGAAAUACUUGCAGGGAUUUCCACUUUGCCUUUGGAAAGAGGUUGCGUGUGUUGUUGGUAUAAAAGGAGCUCCGUGGGAGGUUAAUUCACGUACACAAAGAGACGGGAAAGGAGAUGAGACCAGCGAGGCUGUCACAGCCCUGGAUGUGGCUGCUGAGCUGUGCAUUGUAAUGCUCAGCCCCAGCCCACUUCUGAAACGCAGCUCUUCAGUUGUUGCUGUGAGCUGCAGUCACUGCUGUUUGGGAAGAGACAUUUGGAGCCCUGAGUCUGAGCUUUGUACGGCACAGUUCCCUCGAGGGCUUUGCCAGAUAACUUCAUGUAGAGGAUGCUAAAUGAAGUGUUAUUUUGAUAGUUCUUUGAGCACUGGUCAUUUGUGACGCUGCUCAAAGUGCUUUUACCUUAGAGCACAAACCUACAUCUGAUGGGAGCUUUGCGCCGGAGGUAUCUGGUGUUUUAAAAUAGAUGGAGUUGAUCAGAGUGAUCUGUAUUUUGCAACCAGCUUUAAACAAAGCCUCAUUUCAUUUCAAAGUGCUCUCCUGACCGACAGGCACUUGUGGAGAUGGACAGACGCACAGAGCUGCGGAGGGGCCGGUGCUGGGAUGGCAGCCGCACAGCCCGCCAGCAUGGCACCAAGUGCCUUUGGCCCUGGGGUGCUGGGACAGCGGGCAUCACCGGCAGAGAGAGGUGUUGGGGAAUACUGAGGACAGCCAUGCACUGCAGACUUCGAGUAGAGAAGUACCCAAUCUCUCUUAAUGUACAUGGACUGUUCCAGAAUGCAGUCAGAGUCCUCUGAUAACAGCCCCAAACGUGGAUCAAAAUGGUGGGAUGAACCGAUGUCUGCGGUAUCGUAUCAAAGAACAUUUCUGUUCCUGGCAAAGUGUGAAUUCUAAAGCAAAGAAGUAUGAAAAGGUUUUACUUCAGAAAGGUGAGGUCUGCCACUAUGCCAGCGGGGUUGGAAAUGUUACUUUUCCCCCCAUAAAUGCACUUGGUAUCUCCGAACACCCAGUGAAGGCUUCUCAGCUGGCAGCAUUUUCCCGCCAUCUUGGCUGAGUUUCUCCAUCCCCCUGUAAGGCCCGGGCACACAGGAGUGCGUCACCGAGGAGUGAAUGUUUGGGCUCUUCUGAAAUGCACGCAGACUCGGUGCACCCCAGGGAGCACUGCAGGAGCACAGCCACAUCCUGUGCCCACACUGAGUGCAGGGAGACAGGAGGGAAAGGUGUCAUACAGAGCACCGAGCUAAAAAUAGAGCUGUGGCAAUCUCACACAUUGCAGCGAGCGCACUGCAGGCAGGAGAGCACACACAGCUCUGGCACUGAAAGCCUGAGAGGGUCUGCACGUUGCCAUAGGCUUCACAGCAGGACAUCAGCAUGCUUCUCUCUCUAAGAUGGAGGCAGAGGGAUUGCUUGCUUCUUCGUUGCUACGGUUUUGCAGCUGUAAUGGCAGUACGUUGGCACUUACAGGUCUUGUUCUGGAUCUUAACCAUCGCAUAAUUAAACGAGGCGUCUGUGCCUCAGCCUUACACGUGUGCUGUACCCUUCUGAGGCCAAUGCAAAAGCUUCCAUGCUUCUGAGCCGGUUUUGUUGUGCACUGUAAAAGAUUUUGUGAUUUACAUACAAGUCGUACGCUCACCCUCUGCAUGCUCAGCACCGCAUCCAUUGGAGAAACUGCCACAGAAAGCAAAGGUUUAUGUGAGUGCAAUCUUUAAUGUUUGCGAGCUGGAACCACAGCACGGGUCUUCUGGCUUCAAAAACAGAUCCCACUGAAGUUCUGCUGACCCAGAGCAGCUGAGCUUUAUUACAGAGAAGCAUUACUCUCCGGGGAAUUGCAGGUGGGAACACAGCAUCCUUCUGGUUUCACAUUGCACACAGCUGCGCAGGGGGAUGCUCACGUAGGCUGAAAGAUGACAAAAUGCCAUCACAGGUUUUCCCCUGAAAAGAAAACUCCUUGAAGCUGGCUUUUGCUGUUCCUGAGAUAUGUCCAAGGUGGUGGUCACAUACCAGUCAUUGCAGGUCCUUCUGAAGGUCCUUUUGAAGCUUUUUUUCUCCGGGAGAAAAGUCCAUCUGUAUUAUUUGUGCUGGUCUGAGCUUCAAACAGAAUGGCUGCUAGGGACUGACAGCAGAGCCUGGUAUGUAGCAUGGCCCUGUGAAGGAGUGGAUAAUCCUCCGUCCUUAAAUAUAGCUGCUAUUUGUGUUGGCAGUGUGCAGACUUCCAGGGAUUUCACCAGUGAUCCCAGACAUAGCACUUCAAAGUGCUGCUGAGGAAAUAUCUAUGCAAAUUUCGUUCUAUUUCAAAACUUCUCAACUAAAUAACGUGAGUGGGCAAAUAUGUUGCAGCCUAUGGAAGCUUAAUAUAGAAAAAUGUUCAAAAGGAAAAUAUCCAGAGAGUAUUUUUUCUAUUACACAGACCUGGAAACUGUAUCAGCUCAUAGCAGGUGGUGAGAUUAAGCCCCUGCAGUCCAAAGGGAAACUGAGCAACCUACUUCAUCUUUCAAACUUUCACAAUCUGUGGGCCAGACAGGAUCCACCCAAUGGUCCUGGAGGAGCCGGCAGAAGAAUUCCUUCAUCGAAGGGCUGUCAGACACUGGGAGGGAUUCCCUGGGGCAGCUCCAUCCCUGAGGGUGUUCAGGAGGUGUGCGGACACGGAGCUGAAGGAUGUGGUUUGGUGGUGGGAUGCAGGAGGGCGGCUUGGUGGCUGGAGACCCUUUCCAGCCCAGAUAAUCCUGUGGUUCUAUCAUUUUUUGAAUUGAGGGGUUAUACCAAUUGUUCUUUCAGCUUAGUUUUCCCCAGUUAAUUUCUUUUUCACGUCAAACACACUUUGCAGGCACCACACCAAAACCCAUUCUAACAUUUCUGUAAGCUUGAUGCAAUGGCUUAGUUGCCAGCCAGCAGUCAGCAUACUGGUAAUCACUGCCCCUUGUCCCAUGUGGCCCCCCCAGUAUUAGCAAGGAGCUGGGGCCUAGGCUCUGCAGGUGUUGGCAGCAGUGUACAGCAGCAUACGGCAGCAUGUGGCCGUGCAUGGCACAGCCCGGCAGCACAUGGCAGCAUCUGGCUUGCUGAGCAUAUUGCAAGAGGGGACAUGCUGCAGAGCUAGGCCUUGCCAGCACCAGUGGGACCUUUUUUGCUAAUACUACUUGUAGUGGCAAUGCUAAGUCACGGCCUGAAACAGUGACUGAGCACCUAGUGGGAAGGCAGGGCCAACCCAGGGGAGCUCAGCUGCAUGCAGUGCACCUGAAUGACUAGAAGGGUGGAGCCAGGAUCACCCCUUCUCAGACCUCAUUUAAGGGCUGGCAAUGGAGGUGAGGGUAUCUCUUGCUGGAGAUGAGCAGCUCUUUUCCUUUAUUUCUGCAUCUAUGGCUGCUGUGUUUGGUCUUGUUCUCACUUUCUGUAGCCAGAGACUUUGCCAUUCUGCUUUUGUCAUCUCAUUAUAGCAUUACACUACUGCACUGUGAAUCCGUUUCAUGCCAGAAGGGUGCUAAGAAGUUACCUUCCUCUCUGCAGGAAUGCCAAUGAGUUUUCUUGUAUCAAUGAGAUCCACAGGACCGCUAAGUUCCUUUCUUCAGUGUAGAUGUUUAUAACGAAUGUUCUUACACAACUCAUGGCAUCCUCUGCUCAAGGUCUGCACUGCUGUCCCUGUAUCUGUGCAUUCCUCAGACUGGGCCCCAACUUCUUCCAGUUCUCCUAUGCAAAGCAAACACACUGAGGAGCCACAUCUGCACAAAUAGCAGCAGGGCAGUGUCGGGUUUCCUCCCCUUCUUCACAGUUGUUUGAAAAAGCAGCUGAUGGUGUUAAUGGAAUCAGAUGUUCUGUGAGCCUGGGGAGCAGAGGUUGCACUGUGACCCUCUGUUCUGUAACCACCGAACAGACACUGAUUAAAUUCUCUUAGUUGUGUUCUAAAGAGAUUACUUUGAAACGAAAUCAGAGCUGAAUGAAACAGAGCAGGUGCCCGAUGAGGAGUUGAUAUGAUAUAGUCCAUAUCUGUUUUGAUCUCAAAAACCAUGUUGUGUUUUCGUUGUUGUUGCUUUUGUGGGAUGAAAAGUCCAAAUAGGGCUCGGGAAUGUCUCUAUUAUUUAGUUGAAAUGUUUCAGUAUUUCUGGAAUCAGUAGCAGUCAGUUUGUUCCUUGAACUGCCUUCACAAUCAGUUUUCAGUUUAAGUUUCGGUUUUCCCUGGGAGCUGCACCUUUUGGUCGGUGCUUCAGAACUUGAAUGUGCAAGUGUCAGCAUCCCCAGGCAGAGGGCAGCAGCUCACAGCCUGGUGACCCACACAUCUGCAUUGCAUUAGGGGGAACACAAUCGCCCUGGAAGCUCUGCAGCUCCAACACUGCACACCAGUGAGGGGAUGCAGUGCAGCAUUUGCUCAAACCAAUGCUUAACAGCAUUUCAGACUAAUAAUAACAUUAUGAAAUGAAGUAAGUUGUUUUCGUUAUCUUAGCAAGCAGACAAACAUUUUCUGCAUUGUGUGGAAGCCGGUUUUCUGCCCUAACACCCUCCAACAGAAGACUUGCACCCAGGCCGUGGCAGGAUGGAGCCAUAGCAGGGGGUGGCGGGCAGGGCUGGGCAGGGGCUGUGUCUGGGUAUGCAGGAGGGCUGAGCUCCGGCACAGGAAGGUUUUGUGGCUGCAGUGGCAGGGGGAGCAUGGUGGGGCCCAUCAUGGAGCCUGAGGUGUAGAUGUCUGAGCCUGAUGAGGGUGCUGGGAGGUGCAGCAGGGCAGAGUGCUGCAGCUGUGCUGAAUGUCCUCUCCUUGAUGUCAGAAUACAGGGCUCUGGCUCACUCUGACGCUGACUGCUGCGAUCAGCUUGGAGUUAAUUGAACUAAAUGGGAAGUUUGCCAGGGAUGUGGUUAUUGUGGCUUGGUCAUUAGCACAAAGGCAGUGUACAGUUAGCUGCUGUUUGAUGCCUCAGGUGUUCGUGGUGACAGCAGUGAGUGGCUCUGCUCUCCAGAAGCAGUCUGAUCUGGAGGAGACAGCAGCCCUCCUGGCUCAGGAUGUAUGUACUGAAUGUUUGAAAUACAGAUAUUCCCCAUUGGAAUAAAUCUGUUCUAUUUUACAGAAUCACAGAAUGUCUGAGGUUGGAAGGGACCUCAAGGAUCAUGAUUCUCCAACCCCCCUACCACAGGCAGGGCCACCAGCCUCCCCAUUUAAUACCAGACCAGGCUGCCCAGGGCCCCAUCCAACCUGGCCUUGAAACUCUUCACUUACUUUGAGUAAUGUAAACUAUUGUGUAUGCUGGUGGUCCACCCUUGUACUCUUUGCAGUCCUUGCACACGGCCGUGGCUCUGGCUGGCAUCCGUUGGGGCAGCCUCACUGCACCCAUGCCAGCAAGCUGAACUUGGAGUGAAAUACAGAACAAAGCCUUAAUCUGGCGGUGCCGAUGGCUUCAUUGGGAAAUACUGACUGUAUUUUUAACAUAUACUGUUUUGUAGUGAUGAAUGCUUAAAGUCCUUCCUGUUGUCCGUAGCUGUUUCCCUCUGUACUGUGGUUAGCCUGAGAUCCUGAGCUGGAAUGAGCAGCAUGCGGAGAUCUAAGGCACAGUAAGCUUGGCCUAGAUGAUCUCAUGCAUGUCUGUAGGAAGGUAUAGAAACUUACUGGCAAUGCCAUGGAAUUUUCCUCUCUUUUGCCCUUUCAUGUGCGAAUGUUGAACCCAAAAAACGCCUUUUGUACCGGGAAGGGGGGGGGGGGGGGGGGAAGGGGUGUUUCGCUGAUUCCAAAGUGAAAUGCUUGUGAAAUUGUACCUGCAGUAAAUAGAACUAUGACUGCAUACUGAAAUCAAACCUCCAGUAACAAUAUCAGGGCAGAGCUGGUACACAAAGUGGUCUUCAUAGAGACAGAGUCAGGCAGAUGGGAAACAUUACACCAGUUUUUCCUCAAGGGUAGCACUUAAGUAGUUCUCCACUUACAGAAAGGAAUCAUAGCAGGUUUGUAUCAAAGUAACUUCAGCCAAAGUUAUUUCUCUAAGAGGAGAUAAACAUCUCUUUUGGAAUUUCAUUGAUAACAUAUCAGAUAUGAUAAAUAUGGCACAGGAGUAAUGAGAGCCUUCAAAAGAUGCUCUUUGUCCCUGGGCCCUUCUCUGGGGAACACUGCAUCCAGAGGGGACACGCUGGAACAGCAGUUGCCUGUACAAAGCGCAGAAGCAGAUAUAUUCAAGUUACCGUAUUAAAUAAGUGUGCUGAUCACAGUAAUGCACCCUGCGCACUGCACUGAGCACCAGCAUCCCCAGCCCCACACCCAAAGGCUGCCAGGUUUCACUACUCAGCCCUUGUCCCUCCACUCCUCAGGAAGCAGCCAGAGUGGGGCAAGCAUCCGGCUCUCCAGGAGUGAAGUGAAGGGAAGCAAAUGUCUCUGUGCCCCAGCUGAUGCUUUGAGGAUGGGCUGUGAGCAAGCAGAACACGCUGUGUUGCACCAGGCCACAGCUUUUGGUGUGCACUCUCAUCCAGUCUGGCUGCUGGAAGCCACGCAGGCACAGCAGGAGUCCUGCAGGAGGGCUGAGAUGGGGCCAGGAGCCACACACCAUUGCCUUUGGGCCCCCCAGCACCACAGCAGUGAGCUGCUGAGCCAUCAUGGUGCCUCUGGCCCACCAGGGCCUCAGGACAGCAGCCUCCUCCUGUCCUCACGUCAGCCCAAGGAGAUGGGACGACAUGUUGGCAAAAUAGAUGAGCUCAGCACAAAGGGCAAAGAAUAUGGUGAGCUUUCUGUAUUGACUUUGCUUUGUUCUCACUAAGAAAAAUGCCCUGAGAGUGAUGAGCCCUAAUGCAUUAGCCUUAGCAGGACAAAGUGUCAGCCAAAAACAUCCUAGGAAAAAGAAAGGGGAAGCAUCUAAAUGCUAAAACACUCCAGCUGACCCAUGUUCCAUUUCCCUUUUCUCAUUGCAAAUGUGUGGCUGUCCUCACGUCCAACCACAGCACAGAGCUGGGUUUAUGGCUGGGCACAGCAUGGAGCUGGGCUUAUAGUUGGGCACAGAGCUGGGCACAGCACAGAGCUGGGCAGCCUUUCCUGCAGCAAGAUGCUCUCCUGACAGGACACAGUCCCACUGACUGUGGCAAGGCUGGGGUGAAGGGAACAGAGGGCAGCAGCAAGCAGCUCUGCUCUCAGCCUGGCUGGCACUGCUGUCCAUAAGGCCUCUGCUUGCUCUUUCAAAUGUACCUUCAUAAUCUUAAAUAAACUGACACUGAAGCUCUAGGUAAAACUGCUACAAAUGUUAGCCU
ensembl:lncRNA